rnacentral:lncRNA from 1 species
CUGUCCCGCUCACAAAAGCGUACUGUUGUUCCACUUCUGUUUUUCCUUUUGGGAUGAGGGGCCUCAAGAGCUAAACCACCAUCUCCUCUCUGCCCGCAGGCUGUGGAAAGGCCGGUGCUGUACGUCGCUGUGAGCGUCCUUGGAGUGGGGACAGGCAGUGGACACCUUUCUUCCCCUCGUUCUCCUUCGCUCAGCAGCACCCAAUGUUUCAGCAGGUGGGAGAAGCCACCACUCAGAAAGCAACCCUGCACCCUUGAUAAACCUGUUCUCUCAGCAACUGGGGUUAUUGCCAGCCCAUAGCAACAGACUUGGAAAAUUGGAUAAAGUUGAAACCUGGGGGUCCCCAGAAGAGUUCAUUUCCUUGUUGGUCCUUAUCAGUAAGAAUCAAAUUUUAGUUCUUAUGUAUUUCAGAUGCUUCCAGAAACAGUGUCAUCUGGUCAAUGACUGACAGUUUCCCUUUUGCUCUUUCUUUCUCAGUGUUUUC